GGUUGGGUAGCUCAGCUGGUAGAGCAGCGGAUUGAAAAUCCGCGUGUCGCGGGUUCAAGUCCCGCCCCGACCACCA
rnacentral:tRNA from 5 species